CACGGAUAACAUACCGAAAGGUAUGCUAAUACGGGAUAAUAUAUUUGAGAGGCAUCUCUUAAAUAUCAAAGGUGAGCCAGUACAGGAUGGACCCGCGUCUGAUUAGCUAGUUGGUAAGGUAACGGCUUACCAAGGCAACGAUCAGUAGCCGACCUGAGAGGGUGAUCGGCCACAUUGGAACUGAGACACGGUCCAAACUCCUACGGGAGGCAGCAGUGGGGAAUAUUGCACAAUGGGCGAAAGCCUGAUGCAGCAACGCCGCGUGAGUGAUGAAGGCCUUCGGGUCGUAAAACUCUGUCCUCAAGGAAGAUAAUGACGGUACUUGAGGAGGAAGCCCCGGCUAACUACGUGCCAGCAGCCGCGGUAAUACGUAGGGGGCUAGCGUUAUCCGGAUUUACUGGGCGUAAAGGGUGCGUAGGCGGUCUUUCAAGUCAGGAGUGAAAGGCUACGGCUCAACCGUAGUAAGCUCUUGAAACUGGGAGACUUGAGUGCAGGAGAGGAGAGUGGAAUUCCUAGUGUAGCGGUGAAAUGCGUAGAUAUUAGGAGGAACACCAGUUGCGAAGGCGGCUCUCUGGACUGUAACUGACGCUGAGGCACGAAAGCGUGGGGAGCAAACAGGAUUAGAUACCCUGGUAGUCCACGCUGUAAACGAUGAGUACUAGGUGUCGGGGGUUACCCCCUUCGGUGCCGCAGCUAACG
rnacentral:rRNA from 1 species